rnacentral:rRNA from 1 species
UACGGAGGGAGCUAGCGUUGUUCGGAAUUACUGGGCGUAAAGCGCGCGUAGGCGGCUUUGUAAGUUAGAGGUGAAAGCCCGGGGCUCAACCCCGGAACUGCCUUUAAGACUGCAUCGCUUGAACAUCGGAGAGGUAAGUGGAAUUCCGAGUGUAGAGGUGAAAUUCGUAGAUAUUCGGAAGAACACCAGUGGCGAAGGCGACUUACUGGACGAUUGUUGACGCUGAGGUGCGAAAGCGUGGGGAGCAAACAGG